GUAGGGGGCAAGCGUUAUCCGGAUUUACUGGGUGUAAAGGGCGCGUAGACGGUUAGAUAAGUCUGAAGUGAAAGCCCGGGGCCCAACCCCGGGACUGCUUUGGAAACUGUAGAACUGGAGUACAGGAGGGGCAGGCGGAAUUCCUAGUGUAGCGGUGAAAUGCGUAGAUAUCAGGAGGAACACCGGCGGCGAAGGCGGCCUGCUGGACUGGGACUGACGUUGAGGCUCGAAAGCGUGGGGAGC
rnacentral:rRNA from 1 species